UGUUUUUGCAGAAACGUGAAGGGGGUUAAUCUUCUACAAGUCCAGUCAUGGGCUUUCACAAAGAACCAAGAAGGAGUCGCGAAGCCUCCCCCGACUCUGCGGGAAGCUCUUUCUUUGUGCCUUCUUUUCUACACACGUCUGACAAAGACGCUAAGUGUCUCCUGCCUGGAUUCUGAGGGCUUUGAAAUAUGCACUAUUAUUUUUUCCUGCAUACAAAUGAGGAAACUGAGAGUUUGCUUAACCUCUUCAUUUCCCAUUUACUGAGUUCCCCAGAUGCAAAACAUGAAGCUAAUUUUGGUUACCU